rnacentral:rRNA from 1 species
UACGUAGGAUGCAAGCGUUGUCCGGAUUUACUGGGCGUAAAGCGCGCGCAGGCGGCAGUGUAAGUAAGGUGUGAAAUAUCCCGGCUCAACCGGGAGGGUGCACUUUAGACUACACAGCUUGAGGUCGGUAGAGGGGGGUAGAAUUGCUGGUGUAGCGGUGAAAUGCGUAGAGAUCAGCAGGAAUACCCGUGGCGAAGGCGGCCCCCUGGGCCGUACCUGACGCUGAGGCAUGAAAGCGUGGGGAGCAAACAGG